rnacentral:rRNA from 1 species
AUGGGGGCACAAGACGAGGGUAGCCGGCGGCCGCCGCCGCCAGAGCCCACCCCUCGCCAGCCCGCCGCAACCGCGGGCACGGCGCCGCCGCCCAUCACCCCAGCCCAGUUCCUCUCCUGGAAGCAGCGGAAGGAUGCAGAAGAAGCUGCAGAGAAAGCUGAAGCAGCUCAGAAGCGAGCCGCGGAUAUAGCUUCAGGUGCAGUGCAAAUGAAUGGCCGAGAGCUGUUCAAGCAUGAACCCUGGGUGUUUGACAACAACAUUUACUGA